rnacentral:lncRNA from 1 species
CGUAGAGCGCGAGCAGACGGUGCAGCAUGGCGCACAGCGGAGGCCGCGGGCGGCCGAACCCGGCGUGUCCUUGGGCGUUUCCAGGUGCAACAAAACCUGCUCAUUUGAAGGUGCUUGAACAAAUAUUUUCUAAACACUUGUCAUGGAGAGUGAUUGAAACAAGCUGCCAGGACUACAUUUGCCAAUAACAAGCAUGUAGGUGGCUGUAGUGGAUGUCCAACUUUGGGAGCUGUGAUGUCUAAAAACCCUUUAUUGUUUUGGGUAAGUUUGCUUAAUCAGUCAUGUAUCUGGAUUCAAUACUGUUUGAUAACACUGAGGGGCUGGGGCCAGUUCGUUUUGAAGAUCAUUAGGGUGAACACCUGGGCCUAGUUUGAGAUGGAAGAAAAAUGAUUUGGGGUUUCUGACUUUUUUUUUUUCCUUUUGGGAAGGUGCAGCUUACAUAUUGGAAGGUAAAAUGAAGGCCAUGAACAAAGUCAAGAAGCCAUAAACAGAAGCAAAUGGUGAAAAUUAAUAUCUAAUUUAAUAUUAAUAAGUUAUAUAUAAAUAAACAGUUAUUCUU